GGGUUUCCCACCAGAGCACUGGCUGCAGGACUCCCAGAAAGGGGCCUAAGCAAAACCUUCAAGGUUCAUUUCAAGGGCAAAUAAAGUCAAUGAAGUCACCUUGUCCCUGGCUGGCCAGGACUUCGGCCAUGGGGUACUGACGGCCAAACUGGACAUCUCCCUCUAGACAGCCUCAUGGGACAAAAUGAGGGUGAGGACAACGGACUCUGGGUACCUGCUGCAGUGACGCAGACAAGCCCUACUAAGCCUGGUUACAUAGAAGAGUGAGACCACUGAGCGGGUCUGACUGGUAGCACAUCCUACCACAGGGCCUGGAAAUUUUCUCAGGGAAAUCCACAGAAGAGUCUGCACAAACUCCUGUGUGUGGUAAGGAUGACACCAGGAGAUAGCAGGUGAGAGCUGCCUUUAAAUCCUGCGCCUCUCUUCUUGCUUAGCCUUACUGGAGAUGGCUGCUGGGAGCAAGACAGGCAUGAAGACAGUUGACAACAAAGAGCAGAGUAAGCUUAUCAACUGGAAAACAAACAGAAGACCUGGAGCUCAAAGGCACUGGUCCCAGACAGACAGAGAAAACUCAGCACGGUUUGAAGAGCGGGAGUGAAACUAUAAAGAGCAGGCUGGAGCUCAGGGCAAGCUGUCCAUGCUCAGAGGGACCCUGAGGAAGCUCAGGCUGCUUCCCCAGCUCCACUGGAAGGACACUGUGGGAAAAGGCACUACCCCGAGGACACGAGCAAAGAACACGCAGCUGCGUCCUUAACUGGAACAGAGCCUGCAGCACUUCUGCACACAGAUGGUCUCACUCCAGACACCAAGCACUUCCUGGGGUUCAGAAGUGGAUUGACGAGGGUGCUGCUCUCUCUCUGGAGCCCCGAAUGAUCGUCAUCCCCACAGUCAUCCCCACAGUCCUGGUCCCACCUGCUACAGUUUCAGUUAGCCACAGUCAACUGCAGUCCAAAACAACUUAAUGGCAAAUUCUAGAAACAAAGGAUUCAUCAGGUUUCUCAUUUGAUGAUUUUGUUUUGUUUUUCUUUUCUUUUGUUUUGUUUUAAUACAGGGUCUCAUGUAGCCCAGGCUGGCAUCAAAUUUGCUAUGUAAUUCAAGGUGAUCUUGAAUUCCUGUUUCUCCUCCUCCACUCCCUAAGUGGUGGGAUUCCUGGUAUUGAUCACGGCAUGUGGACAUUUGUAAGCUUUAUUACAAUGUUCGGUUAGGAUUAUUUUAUCUUGCUGUUACUGUUAACCUCUUACUGUACUUAAUUUAUGAAUUAAAAUUUACCGUAAAUACCC
rnacentral:lncRNA from 1 species